UCUCGAUAGCGGAAAAGUUAACUCAAAUUUGUUCGGAAUUGAAACUGAUACCUACGUUUGCCGCUAGGGGCGCUGUUCAAACUGCAUACAAAUUUGAGUUAACUUUUACGCUAUCGA
rnacentral:pre_miRNA from 9 species